AUAUAGUUAAAAAAAAAAAAAAAAGCUAGCGGAGGCUUGUCGUUUGCUCAGAAGGAAAUGUUUAUAGGAAUUUGUCUUCAAUCAAGUACUCCUGCAUGUGUGUGCUCUUUGUUUAGGAAAACUCACCAGCUCCAUUGACUGACCUUUGAAGGCUGGUGCCCAGGUCUUGACUCAGCUGUCUCCCAUUCUGUGGUGGCCCUAAGGCUUCAGGGGGGCAGUCCUGUGAGCCAUCAUCCCGACUUCUUAAGAAGUUCUUUACCACAGGCUUGUAGCUGUUGUUCUGGUGCUGUGUUCUGACCACACAGCAGUGUUGUCCUUCCUUCAGAUUGUACAUGGCAUGGGGAUUGCUCAGCCUGGUAGUGAAUCUGAGGUAUUCAUUACUUCAGCCCCAUGCUUGGCAAUUCAGUGGGCAGUUAAGAUCUUGCUAUUUAUAUGGAAGAACUUUCUGGCAAGUUACCUCUUAGUUACUCUUCUCUCAUAAUCUGAGAGGUUUCCCAGAAGCCCCUCUCUUAGUUCAGUAGGGCCUCAUUUUUCUCUUUGUAGCCACAAAGUUGUAUACGUUGAGACCAUGUUCAGACAGGAGGAGGGCAGGAGUGUGAAGCCAUGGAGUUCCUGGUAGAUCAUCUGGUCCAACCUCCAGGACACUCAUCCUUCAGGAAGCUCACACUCGGCUCAUGCUGUGGGUUCCAGCGGAGACACUGCAAAGCCUCCAUUCUUUUGAUAUUUCUAUCUUUUUUCUCCAUCCUCCCUUAAAAAUGGUUCCAAACUCUUUUUUCAUGUGAAACUCAUUUAGAGAGUGAUUCAAAUACCAGGACCAUCCAAAGAAUGUUUAAAGUUUCCAUUCCACCAAGCAGCUUUACUCUAUGAGCAGACAAGAGUUCAGGCAGGACACACCCAAGACUGCGGUGGACUCCAGAGCUCCCAGGCAGAGCUCUUGGUAGGGAGCCUGGAGACAAAGAAUGGUGGACCCUCCCUGUGGAGGAUCUCUGCAGGAGUGAGUGAAGAGAGAUAGAAGAGCUGCAGAGUGAGGAUGACAGACAAACACGUGAACAGCUCCUGGCAGUUUUCCCUGAAGCUGAAGUGAAGCUGGACCACAGCUGAUUAAACUAAAGAUGCUCAGCCUCCCAAACUGGCAAGAAGAACUUGGGUGAUGUUACCAAAGCAGGCGUGAAGAUUCUGAAACUCUCUGGGAAAUCAGCUUUAAUGAGGACGUGCUUUGCUUCUCCUUCUGAAAGAAAGCUACCAAGACUUGUCAGUGUGAUCCCUACAGCCGCGAUAUACAUCCCAGGCAGGACGGCCCUGUUUAAAGUCACAUUCCUAUCUUGUCACUCCGUUUCUCUUGAUUGUCAGUGGGUUUGCAUGUAACUUUCACGAUGUCCAUUUGAUCUUGUAAAGAGCGAGAGGUCUGACUUGUGAGCAGCUCAGUCUUUUCUCUCUGGCUCGCUCCUCCAGGGCAGGGGGUAGUAUAUUUCCCAACACCCUGGAGUGUCUAGUUGAAUAUAUGAAACUCACGCAGAACUUGAACCAAGCAGGAGUUGAAGGAUGGAGAGGAGAGACUCUGCUUGAUGGACCAACUGUCUACACAUUUGCAAAACUUAAAAGAGAACUUGCAAGGUCUAUUUUAUUUUUAUUUUUGGUAUCGCACUAUUCCAGCAAGGUAAUGGUUAAGGAGUAAAUGAAGUGAAUUAGAAACAGGUGGACUCGCUUUUCUUGACACUUGCCCUGAUAUAUUUCAGAUUCCGUGCACCUCAGACUAUUUGGUAAUAGGGAGACCAUUCCCCGAACCAGCAUGCGUGUAUCAGCUAAUGCUUGCGGAAUGGCUCGUGAUUAUGUAGCACAUACAUAUUGCAUAUGCUAAAGCCUUCUAAUGGUCAAUGUAGUUGAGUGAUCAGCAAGCAAACUCUGCAUUUACAGUUCUGUUUUUACAACCACUAGUUUGUUCUAAAACCUACUGUCACCAUCACCUCCAACAGUAAACUCUCUAGUUCUAAAAAUAAAUUGGUUCCAUUUCUUCUCAUUUAAAUUUAGGUCACUAACUGAUCAGUUAAACUUUCUCUGAAGCCACUGACAUAGCAAAGAUAUAGCAAAAUUGGCCCAUGCUACAGUUCAAUGUAUAUGUACAUCAUAUAGCUCUCUAUAAAAUCUUGUUUAGGUGUCUCUAAAGCACUCACUAAGUGAUCUAGAAUUUUCCUCGUAGCUUCAGCAUAGAGCCUUGUAUUCAGCAGCUGUACCUAACUGGAUGUGAUGAAUUGAGCAUUUUCCAUGUGUGGUAAGGCAGGUAAACCAUGGAGUCUAGAGUAUUCUUGAAAAGUCCCUUCCGUGGCUUAUCAACCAGGGACAUCCUUCACCAAAUGGAUUCAUUCACAG